rnacentral:piRNA from 1 species
UGUUUUUCUGAACCUACAUGGCUACUGGA